GCUGCGGUAGCUCAGUGGUAGAGCGGAUGAUUGCAGAUCCUCAGGUCCUGUGUUCGAACCACAGUCGUAGCU
rnacentral:tRNA from 1 species